UUGAAGCUUCACAUUGUGAAGUUGCUCGUCAUCUUGAUCAUUGGUAUGGUCACCACUUUUUAUUGCAUCGUGUUCAGUUACAGAUUUUGGCUGUUCUUUGAUUUGCUCAAUAUUGUUUGAAGUCCCUGCUGUAUCUUCACCAGAUAUUUGUACAACAUCCUCCUCAGUAGCGCUCUCAUCUUUCUGAGUUGUAAAAGCAGUUUUUUCACCCAAGUCAGAUGAUUCGUCCUGUAUCAAAUGUAUCAGUGAGUUCUCCUGUGAGUAUGCUCAAAUUCAGACGAGUAGUGGCAAUUUUUUGCUGCUGUUACAGAUUGCAGAAUUAUGCAACUGAAAUGGAAUGCUUUUAAAGUACAAAUCUUCAAUCUAGUUUGCACUGCACAACUUCAGGCAGAAAUCAGUUGUACAUCACUUGGUUAAAUCUUUAUAAUUUUUUGUAUACACCAUCAUUGUCAGACAAUGAUAGCAGUCAACCUACAAGCCGCUAAUUAUAUGUGUCUCUUGCUAGAUAGUGCUUCUUUGUAUGAUGGAUGAUAGUGCUUCUGUGUCUCUUGCUAGAUACAAUGUUGCAGCGGAAUUAGAUGUAUCGAGGUUAUUUAUACAGUUCAACCAAAACGACCUACUUACAUUUUUUAAAAUCAUCCAAACAUCAGUUACAAUAUAUUUUGGAGUUCUGAAUAAGUUUAGUAUUACCUACAUCUCUUAAUAGUCUAACAUAUAUCCAAGUGAUAUAAGUGCUAAAUGUCUCAGAUAGAUGAAAGGAACUAUCGGUUAAGGGCACGUACCUUUUGUUCUAUUGGCUCUUGUACUUCCUCUUUGAUGUUUUCAUCUGCCAAGAUUGUGUUGCUAAUUUUAUUACCCAAGUUUUCUUUGUCUAACUCCACAGGAUUUUGUUCUGGCUCGGUUCCAUGAUCUGUUGGAGAUGGAUCCUCCAAAGUAGCAACUUCUGUUUUUUGAGUGGAAAUUUCUUCAUCAUUGAUGCCUUCAGUGGCCGUCAUUUGUUCCAAUUCAUCCAUGCCAUUUACUUGCUGAAUAUCAGAAGUUAGCUCAACUGUUGCUAUAUCACUUUCUGAAACUGGCUCCUCUAACCCAGGAUCUUGGCAUGGAUGGGAGGCUUCUUCACCUUCAGUUGCAUCAAUACAUUUGUUUUCUUCACCUUCAUGCUCUUGUUUAGAAUCAGCAAGCUGGUUGAUUUCAUUUGCAGCAUUAUCUUCUGCAGUUGGUUCUCCAAGGGUGGCACCAUUACUUUGGCCUGUUUCUUCUGCCUUUACUAGUUGACCCUUGCUGUCUUCAGCCAAUUCUGAUUGAUGUGCUGAUUGGACAAGCAAAUUUGGGUCACUUCCUGGUUCACUGCUGGCGUUCUGUACAUGUGUAUCUUGAGUAUGCUCCACUACCGUUGUUUCUUCUUCUGUUGGAGUAAGCUCAGCAGAAGUAGGAUCAAUGCUUUGUUGGGGUUCCCCUUGGUUUUCUGUGGUGUCAGUGCACGUCUUCUCUUCAAGCGCUUCUUGUUCCGGGACUUGCUGAAUAUCAAGAAGUGGUGCACUUGCUGUCAAAUCAUCAUCUGUACUCUCACGAGGGAUUUCUCCAGUCUGCAUGUCUUCAGUGUCAUUUAUCUCUUCUGCUGGGACAUUAACCGCUGAUAUACUAUCUUCCGCUUCAACAGGUUCAGUAUUCUUGAUCUCUUCUAGUGCUGUUUCCUGUGUUGUUGGUAUAUCGACUUGUACAUCAGGAGCUAUCUUGUCCGCAAGACCAACAUCUUCAGUGAGCUCGCUGAUGUUUGCAUCAGUGCUCUUCUUGACUGCUUCAAUUUCCAUGGUUCCAGUGCCCUUCACUUCUUCUGCUGGUAGGUCAGGUGCUGAUUUGUUUUCUUCCAUCUCAACAGGUUCAGCAUUCUCGAGCUCUUGUAGUUCUGACACUUGUGCUUCUGGUAUAUCAUCUGUUGCCUCAGCUGCCAUUACAUGUUCUUCAGGAGCUGCCUCAUCUGCAUGAGCAACAUUGCCUCUUACAUCCUCGGUGAGCUCACUGAUGUUUACAUCAGCGAUCUCGUUGAUUGCUUCAGUUUUCUUGGCUUCAGUCUCCUUCACCUCUUCUGCCGACAGCUCAUUUGCUGAUAUGUUUUCUUCCACUUCAAUAGGUUCAGUAUUCUUGAUUUCUUCUAGGUCUAGCUCUUGUGCUCGUGGGAUAUCAACUGGUGCCUCAGUUGCUAUUACAUGCUCUUCAGGAGCAGCCUCAUCUGCAGGAGCAACAUUGCUUGUCACAUCCUCAGUGAGUUCGCUGAUGUUUGCAUCAGGGCUCUUGUUGAUUGCUUCAGUUUCCUUCACCACUUCUGCUUGCAGGCCACUUGCUGAUCUAUUUUCUUCCACCUCAACUGGUUCAACACUCUUGAUCUCUUCUAGUUCCGGCUCCUGUGCCUGUGGUAUAUCAAAUGUUGUCUCAGCUACUGUUACAUGCUCUGCAUGAGGUUCCUCGUCUGCAGGCACAACGUUGCUUUUCACAUCCUCAUUGAGCUCACUGAUGUUUGCAUCAGUCCUUUUGCUGAUUGCUUCAGUUUCCUUCACCUCUUCUUCUGGCAGGUCACCUGCUUCAGUAUUCUUGAUCUCUUCUAGCUCUGGCUCUUGUGCAUGUGGUAUAUCGACUGUUGUCUCAGCUACUGUUACAUGUUCUUUAUGAGCUGCCUCAUCUGUAAGAGCAAUGUUGCAUUUCAUAUCUUCAGUAAGCUCACUGAUGUUUGCAUCAGUGCUCUCAUUGAUUGCUUCAGUGUCCUUCACCUCUUCUGCCGGUAUGUCACUCGCUGAUGUGUUUUCUUCCACCUCAACAGGUUCAGUAUUCUCGAUCUCUUCUAGUUCUGGUUCUUGUGCUCGUGGAAUAUUAACUGUUCCCUCAGUUGCUAUUAUAUGCUCUUCAUGAGCUGCCUCGUCUGCAGGAUUGACACUGCUUGUCACAUCCUCAAUGAGCUCGCUGAUGUUUGCAUCAAUGCUCUCGUUGAUUGCUUCAGUUUCCUUCACCUCUUCUGCUGGCAAGUUACCUGCUGAUCUGUUCUCCUCCACCUCAACAGGUUCAACAUUCUCAAGAUCCUUUAGUUCCGGCGCUUGUGCUUGUGGUAUAUCAACCGUUGCCUCAGCUGCUAUUACAUGUUCUUCAGGAGCUGCCUCUUCUGCAGGAGUAACAUUGCUUUUCAUAUCCUCAGUGAGCUCACUAAUGCUUGCAUCAGUGCUCUCAUUGAUUGCUUCAGUGUCCUUCACCUUUUCUGCUGGCAGGUCACUUGCUGGUAUGUUUUCUUCCACCUUAACAGGUCUAGUAUUCUGGAUCUCUUCUACUUCUGGCUCUUGUGCUUGUGGUAUAUCGACUGUAUUAUCAGCUACCGUUACAUGUUCUUCAGGAGCUGCCUCGUCUGCAAGAGCAACAUUGCUUUUCACAUCUUCAGUAAGCUCAUUGUUGUUUGCAUCAGUGCUCUCGUUGAUUGCUUCAGUCUCCACGGCUUCACUAUCUUUCACCUCUUCUGCUGGCAGAUCAUUUUCUGAUACAUAUGCUUCCACUUCAGCAGGUUCAGUGUUCUUGGUCUCUUCUAGUUCUGGCUCUUGUGUUCGUGGUAUAUCAACUGUUGCGGCAGUUGCUAUUACAUGUUCUUCAGGAGCUGCCUCGUCUGCACACACGAGAUUGCUUUUCACAUCCUCAGUAAGCUUACUGAUGUUUGCAUCAAUGCUCUCGUUGAAUGCUUCAGUUUCCUUGGCUUCAGUGUCCUUCAUCUCUUCUGCCGGCAUGUCACUAGCUGAUAUGUUUUCUUUCACUUCAACAGGUUCAAUAUUCUUGAUCUCUUCUAGUUCCGGCUCUUGUGCUUGUGCUAUAUCAACUGUUGCCUCAGUUGCUAUUACAUGUUCUUCAGGAGCAGCCUCGUCUGCAAGAGCAACGUUACUUUCCACAUCCUCAGCGAUCUCACUGAAGUUUGCAUCAGUGCUCCCAUUGGUUGCUUCAGUUUCCUUGGCUUCAUUGCCGUUCACCUCUUCUGCCGGCAGGUCACUCGCUGAUAUGUUUUCUUCCACCUCAACAGGUUCAGUAUUCUUGAUCUCUUCUACUUCUGGCUCUUGUGCAUGUGGUAUAUCAACUGUAUCAUCAGCUACUGUUACAUGUUCUUCAGGAGCUGCUUCGUCUGCAAGAGCAACAAUGUUUUUCACAUCUUCAGUGAGCUCACUGUUGUUUGUGUUAGUGCUCUCGUUGAUUGUUUCAGUCUCCAUGGCUUCAGUAUCCUUCACCUCUUCUGCUGGCAGAUCAUUUGCUGAUAUGUUUUCUGCCACUUCAGCAGGUUCAGUAUUCUUGGUCUCUUCUAGUUCUGGCUCUUGUGCUUCUGGUAUAUCAACUGUUGCCUCAGGUGCCAUUACAUGCUCUUCAGGAGCUACCUCCUCUGUAAGGGCAACAUUGUUUUGCACAUCUUCAAUGAGAUCGCUAAUGUUUGCGUCACUGCUCUCAUUGUUUGCUUCAGUUUCCCCCAUCUCUUCUGCAGGCAGGUCGCUUGCUGAUCUAGUUUCUUCCACCUCAACAGGUUCAGUAUUCUUGACCUCUUCUAGUUUCGGCUCUUGUGCUUGUGGUACAUCAACUGUUCUCUCAGCUACUGUUACAUGUUCAUCAUGAGCUGCCUCGUCUGUAAGAGAAACAUUGCUUUGCACAUCUUCAGUGAGCUCACUGUUGUUUGCAUCAGUGCUGUCGUUGAUUGCUUCUGUUUCCACGGUGUCAGUAUCCUUCACAUUUUUCGCUGGCAGAUCACUUGCUGAUGUGUUCCCUUCCACUUCAGCAGGUUCACUAUUCUUGAUCUCUUCUAGGUUUGGCUCUUGCGGUUGUGGUAUAGCACCAGUUGCUUCUGUUGCUUUUGCAUGUUCAUCAGGAGCUGCCUCAUCUGCAAGAGCAAUAUUGCUUUUCACAUCAUUGAUGAGCUCGCUGAUGUUUCCACCAGUACUCUCAUGAGGGAUCAUCUCAGUUUCCAUGGCUUCAGUAUCCUUGAUCUCUUCUGCUGGCAGGUCCCUUGCUGUUAUAUUAUCUUCCACUUCAACGGGUUCACUAUUCUUGUUCUCUUCUAAUUCUGGCUCUUGUGGUUGUGGUAUAGCAGCAGUUGCCUCUGUUGCUUUUGCAUCUUCAUCAGGAGCUGCCUCAUCUUCAAGGGCAACGUUGCUUUUGGCAUCUUCAGUGAGAUCACCAAUAUUUGCAACAGGGCUCUCAUAGUAG
rnacentral:lncRNA from 1 species